AACGAACGCUGGCGGCAGGCUUAACACAUGCAAGUCGAGCGCCCCGCAAGGGGAGCGGCAGACGGGUGAGUAACGCGUGGGAAUCUACCCAUCUCUACGGAAUAACUCAGGGAAACUUGUGCUAAUACCGUAUACGCCCUUUUGGGGAAAGAUUUAUCGGAGAUGGAUGAGCCCGCGUUGGAUUAGCUAGUUGGUGGGGUAAAGGCCUACCAAGGCGACGAUCCAUAGCUGGUCUGAGAGGAUGAUCAGCCACAUUGGGACUGAGACACGGCCCAAACUCCUACGGGAGGCAGCAGUGGGGAAUAUUGGACAAUGGGCGCAAGCCUGAUCCAGCCAUGCCGCGUGAGUGAUGAAGGCCCUAGGGUUGUAAAGCUCUUUCACCGGAGAAGAUAAUGACGGUAUCCGGAGAAGAAGCCCCGGCUAACUUCGUGCCAGCCGCCGCCGUAA
rnacentral:rRNA from 1 species